AACGAACGCUGGCGGCGCGUCUUAAGCAUGCAAGUCGAGCGGCAAGGUUCAGCAAUGGACCCUAGAGCGGCGGACUGGUGAGUAACGCGUGGGUGAUCUACCUGAUGGUUGGGGAUAGUCGUUAGAAAUAGCGGGUAAUACCGAAUAAUGUUGCCGAACUGUGGUUUGGUAAAGAAAGGGGCUUUGGCCCCGCCACCAGAUGAGCCCGCGUCCCAUUAGCUAGUUGGUGAGGUAAAGGCCCACCAAGGCGAUGAUGGGUAGCCGGCCUGAGAGGGUGAACGGCCACACUGGGACUGAGAUACGGCCCAGACUCCUACGGGAGGCAGCAGCUAAGAAUAUUCCGCAAUGGACGAAAGUCUGACGGAGCGACGCCGCGUGUAUGACGAAGGCCGAAAGGUUGUAAAGUACUUUUGCGGAUGAAGAAUAAGUGCGGGAGGGAAUGCCCGUAUGAUGACGUUAGUCCGUGAAUAAGCCCCGGCUAAUUACGUGCCAGCAGCCGCGGUAACACGUAAGGGGCGAGCGUUGUUCGGAAUUAUUGGGCGUAAAGGGCGCGUAGGCGGUUUUUCAAGUCUGGCGUGAAAUUCUAGGGCUUAACCCUGGGACUGCGUUGGAAACUGUGAAACUAGAGUCAUGGAGGGGGAGUUGGAAUUCCUGGUGUAGGGGUGAAAUCUGUAGAUAUCAGGAAGAACACCGGUGGCGAAGGCGAACUUCUAGCCAAUGACUGACGCUGAGGCGCGAAAGUGCGG
rnacentral:rRNA from 1 species